AGCGAACGCUGGCGGCAGGCCUAAAACAUGCAAGUCGAACGCCCGUAGCAAUACGGGAGUGGCAGACGGGUGAGUAACACGUGGGAACGUGCCCUUUGGUUCGGAACAACACAGGGAAACUUGUGCUAAUACCGGAUAAGCCCUUACGGGGAAAGAUUUAUCGCCAGAGGAUCGGCCCGCGUCUGAUUAGCUAGUUGGUGAGGUAACGGCUCACCAAGGCUACGAUCAGUAGCUGGCUGAGAGGAUGAUCAGCCACACUGGGACUGAGACACGGCCCAGACUCCUACGGGAGGCAGCAGUUAGGAAUCUUGGACAAUGGGCGCAAGCCUGAUCCAGCCAUGCCGCG
rnacentral:rRNA from 1 species